rnacentral:rRNA from 1 species
UUAAGUGAAUAAGGGCGCACGGUGGAUGCCUUGGCACUAGGAGCCGAUGAAGGACGGGACUAACACCGAUAUGCUUUGGGGAGCUGUACGUAAGCUAUGAUCCAGAGAUUUCCGAAUGGGGGAACCCAACAUCUUUAAUAGGAUGUUACGAUUGUGUGAAUACAUAGCACAUUCGAGGUAGACGCAGAGAACUGAAACAUCUAAGUACCUGCAGGAAGAGAAAGAAAAUUCGAUUCCCUGAGUAGCGGCGAGCGAAACGGGAAAAGCCCAAACCAGCAAGCUUGCUUGUUGGGGUUGUAGGACUCCAAUAUGGUAGUUCUUUCAGAUAGUCGAAUGACUUGGAAAAGUCAGUCAAAGAGGGUAAAAACCCCGUAGACGAAAUGUGGAAGACACCUAGGAGGAUCCUGAGUACGGCGGAACACGAGAAAUUCCGUCGGAAUCCGGGAGGACCAUCUCCCAAGGCUAAAUACUCCCUAGUGACCGAUAGUGAACCAGUACCGUGAGGGAAAGGUGAAAAGCACCCCGGAAGGGGAGUGAAAUAGAACCUGAAACCGUGUGCCUACAACAAGUCAAAGCCCGUUAAUGGGUGAUGGCGUGCCUUUUGUAGAAUGAACCGGCGAGUUACGAUUGCAUGCGAGGUUAAGUUGAAGAGACGGAGCCGCAGCGAAAGCGAGUCUGAAUAGGGCGUUUGAGUAUGUAGUCGUAGACCCGAAACCAUGUGAUCUACCCAUGUCCAGGUUGAAGGUGCGGUAAAACGCACUGGAGGACCGAACCCACGUACGUUGAAAAGUGCGGGGAUGAGGUGUGGGUAGCGGAGAAAUUCCAAACGAACUUGGAGAUAGCUGGUUCUCUCCGAAAUAGCUUUAGGGCUAGCCUCGGAAUUGAGAAUGAUGGAGGUAGAGCACUGUUUGGACUAGGGGCCCAUCUCGGGUUACCGAAUUCAGAUAAACUCCGAAUGCCAUUCAUUCAUAUCCGGGAGUCAGACUGUGAGUGAUAAGAUCCAUAGUCGAAAGGGAAACAGCCCAGACCACCAGCUAAGGUCCCAAAAUAUAUGUUAAGUGGAAAAGGAUGUUGGGUUGCACAGACAACUAGGAUGUUGGCUUAGAAGCAGCCAUCAUUUAAAGAGUGCGUAAUAGCUCACUAGUCGAGUGACCCUGCGCCGAAAAUGUACCGGGGCUAAACAUAUUACCGAAGCUGUGGAGUACACCUUUAGGUGUAUUGGUAGGAGAGCGUUCUAAGGGCGUCGAAGGCAGAUCGUGAGGACUGCUGGAGCGCUUAGAAGUGAGAAUGCCGGUAUGAGUAGCGAAAGACAGGUGAGAAUCCUGUCCACCGAAUGACUAAGGUUUCCUGGGGAAGGCUCGUCCGCCCAGGGUUAGUCGGGACCUAAGCCGAGGCCGACAGGCGUAGGCGAUGGAUAACAGGUUGAUAUUCCUGUACCCGUUGUUUUUGUUUGAGCAAUGGAGGGACGCAGGAGGCUAAGGAAUGCAGACGAUCGGAAAUGUCUGUCCAAGCAGUAAGUCUGAAGAGGAGUCAAAUGCUUCUUUUCUUAAGGACAAGCUGUGAUGGGGAGGGAAAUAAUAGUACCGAAGUUCCUGAUGUCACACUGCCGAGAAAAGCUUCUAGUGAGAAAACAGCGGCCCGUACCGCAAACCGACACAGGUAGUCGAGGAGAGAAUCCUAAGGUGAGCGAGAGAACUCUCGUUAAGGAACUCGGCAAAAUGACCCCGUAACUUCGGGAGAAGGGGUGCUGAUCAUACGAUCAGCCGCAGUGAAUAGGCCCAAGCGACUGUUUAUCAAAAACACAGGUCUCUGCAAAAUCGUAAGAUGAAGUAUAGGGGCUGACGCCUGCCCGGUGCUGGAAGGUUAAGAGGAGUGCUUAGCGCAAGCGAAGGUACGAAUUGAAGCCCCAGUAAACGGCGGCCGUAACUAUAACGGUCCUAAGGUAGCGAAAUUCCUUGUCGGGUAAGUUCCGACCCGCACGAAAGGCGUAACGAUUUGGGCACUGUCUCAACGAGAGACUCGGUGAAAUUUUAGUACCUGUGAAGAUGCAGGUUACCCGCGACAGGACGGAAAGACCCCAUGGAGCUUUACUGUAGUUUGAUAUUGAGUGUCUGUACCGCAUGUACAGGAUAGGUAGGAGCCGUAGAAAUCGGAACGCUAGUUUCGAUGGAGGCGCUGGUGGGAUACUACCCCUGCGUUAUGGCCACUCUAACCCGCACCACUAAUCGUGGUGGGAGACAGUGUCAGAUGGGCAGUUUGACUGGGGCGGUCGCCUCCUAAAAGGUAACGGAGGCGCCCAAAGGUUCCCUCAGAAUGGUUGGAAAUCAUUCGAAGAGUGUAAAGGCAGAAGGGAGCUUGACUGCGAGACCAACAAGUCGAGCAGGGACGAAAGUCGGGCUUAGUGAUCCGGUGGUUCCGCAUGGAAGGGCCAUCGCUCAACGGAUAAAAGCUACCCUGGGGAUAACAGGCUUAUCUCCCCCAAGAGUCCACAUCGACGGGGAGGUUUGGCACCUCGAUGUCGGCUCGUCGCAUCCUGGGGCUGUAGUCGGUCCCAAGGGUUGGGCUGUUCGCCCAUUAAAGCGGCACGCGAGCUGGGUUCAGAACGUCGUGAGACAGUUCGGUCCCUAUCCGUCGCGGGCGUUGGAAAUUUGAGAGGAGCUGUCCUUAGUACGAGAGGACCGGGAUGGACUUACCGCUGGUGUACCAGUUGUUCUGCCAAGGGCAUUGCUGGGUAGCUAUGUAGGGAAGGGAUAAACGCUGAAAGCAUCUAAGUGUGAAGCCCACCUCAAGAUGAGAUUUCCCAUUUCUUUAAGAAAGUAAGAUCCCUGAGAGAUGAUCAGGUAGAUAGGUCAGGAGUGGAAGUACAGUGAUGUAUGGAGCGGACUGAUACUAAUCGAUCGAGGACUUAACCAA